GAUGAAGAACGUAGUGAAAUGCGAUAAGUAAUGUGAAUUGCAGAAUUCAGUGAAUCAUCGAAUCUUUGAACGCACCUUGCGCCCUUUGGCCAUUCCGAAGGGCAUGCCUGUUUGAGUAUCAUGAACACCUCAACUCUUCAUGGUUUUCCGUGAUGAGCUUGGACUUUGGGGGUCUUGCUGGCCUAUGGUCAGCUCCUCUAAAAUAAAUCAGCUUGCCAGUGUUUGGUGUGUAUCACAGGUGUGAUAACUAUCUACGCUUGUGGUUUUCCACCAGGUAACCUUCAGCAGUGGAGGUUCGCUGGAGCUCACAGAUGUGUCUCUCCUCAGUGAGGACAGCUCUUUGAAUGUUUGAUCUCAAAUCAGGUAGGACUACCCGCUGAACUUAAGCAUAUCAAUAAGCGGAGGA
rnacentral:misc_RNA from 1 species